UACGUAGGGUCCGAGCGUUGUCCGGAAUUACUGGGCGUAAAGAGCUCGUAGGUGGUUUGUCGCGUUGUCCGUGAAAACUCACAGCUCAACUGUGGGCGUGCGGGCGAUACGGGCAGACUGGAGUACUGCAGGGGAGACUGGAAUUCCUGGUGUAGCGGUGGAAUGCGCAGAUAUCAGGAGGAACACCGGUGGCGAAGGCGGAUCUCUGGGCCAUUACUGACGCUGGAGGAGCGAAAGCGUGGGGAGCGAACAGG
rnacentral:rRNA from 1 species